GAUGUCACCAGGUGAAAAGGUGCAAGUCCACUGUCACCAUGUCUGACACUGAGGAAGUUGAUCAGAUUGAGGGUGAGUAAAAAAGCCCUGACAGGAUAAUUAAACUGUUUCAAAAUGUAUUCUUACUGUGAUGACAAAAUGCAUGUCUCUGAAGUGAAAACUCCUUUAAGCUAAUGUCUCCAGUACUGUUGCAAAUAUUAUUUCUAUAGCUAUGUCUCCCCCAAGUGGUUCCUA
rnacentral:lncRNA from 1 species